GAAAAAGGUUACGAAGAGCACAUGAGGAAUGCCUUGACGAAUUGUGCCGAUGAAGGACGUAGGAGGCUGCGAUAAGCGCCGGGUAGCUGUCAACCAAGCUAUGAUCCGGCGAUUUCCGAAUGGGGAAACCCGACGUGGGUCAUGCCACGUCACCCAUAUCUGAAUACAUAGGAUAUGAGGAGGGCACCUGGGGAACUGAAACAUCUAAGUACCCAGAGGAAGAGACAUCAACCGAGAGUCCCUUAGUAGCGGCGAGCGAAACGGGAUGAGCCUAAACUUAGUUUUUUCCUACCUUCGGGUAGGUUUGUACAAGUAAUUAAAACAAGGGUUGUAAGCUGGCGGCUCAAACAGACUCGUACUGCACAUUUGACUAUCAGUACGCAUCCAUUUCAUGGAAGCAACUUGCUGAUACUUAAGAGCGCAAUGCGAGAAAUUGUUUGUUCAGAUUUGUACUGCUGAAAUAAAGUUACAAAACUAUAGAUUAGAAGAAGGCGCCUGGAAAGGACCACCAAAGAGCGUGAAAGUCGCGUAUUCAAAAAUCUUAUAGUCUUUAUUGCUGCUUGACUUGAGUAGGGCGGGGCACGGGAAACCCUGUCUGAAGCUGGGAGGACCACCUUCCAAGGCUAACUACACAAUUCGAUCGAUAGUGAACAAGUACCGUGAGGGAAAGGUGAAAAGAACCCCGCAAGGGGAGUGAAAUAGAAUCCUGAAAUCAUGUGCUUACAAUGAGUCGGAGCCGGCUUGUCCGGUGACGGCGUGCUUUUUGUAGAACGAUCCAGCGAGUUACUCGUACAGUGCAGGUUAAGUGUCAUCGACACGGAGCCAUAGUGAAAGCGAGGGUUAACUGCCCGACUUUUUAUGUACUGUGCGGUAGACCCGAAACCGGGUGACCUAACCAUGGCCAGGCUGAAGCAUAGGUAAAACUAUGUGGAGGGCCGCACCACCGUCCGUUGCAAAGGGCUUGGAUGAGCUGUGGUUAGCGGAGAAAUUCCAAUCGAACCCGGAGAUAGCUGGUUCUCCUCGAAAUAGCUUUAGGGCUAGCGUCAUAAACUACCUUACGGAGGUAGAGCACUGAAUGGGUUGGGGGCCUUUAGGGGUACCCCGCUCAAUCAAACUCCGAAUGCCGUAAGAGACUAUUAUGGCAGUUAGAACACGGGAGCUAAGUUCCGUGCUCAAAAGGGAAACAGCCCAGAUCGCCAAUUAAGGUCCCCAAGUCAUAGCUCAGUGGGAAACGAGGUGAGAUUGCAUAGACAACCAGGAUGUUGGCUUAGAAGCAGCCAUUCAUUUAAAGAGUGCGUAACAGCUCACUGGUCAAUUGUGAUCUUGCGCGGAAAAUAUAACGGGGCUCAAGCUAUGCACCGAAAUUGCGAAUCGCGUAUUUAUACGUGGUGGUAGAGGAGCGUUCCAUGGGCGCUGAAGUCAGAUCGUGAGGUCUGGUGGAGCGCAUGGAAGUGAGAAUGCUGGAAUAAGUAACCAUAAGGCAGGUGAGAAUCCUGCCCACCGAAAGAGCAAGGUUUCCUGGGCAACGGUUAUCGUCCCAGGGUUAGUCGGGCCUAAGCCGAGGCGAGUAGCGUAGGCGAUGGACAACAGGUUGAUAUUCCUGUACCGGUGUACAUGUUCCCUAUGUUGACGCAGGAUGGAAACGCGAGCGGAUUGCUGGCCAUAUCCGUCUAAGUAGGUAGUCGAGAGUUUACUCUCGGUGAGACACGAGUGAAACUGGUCGUAAGACCGGAAUUCGCGCGGGCCAAACUGACAAGAAAAGACAUAGGUUAAUAGUGUGCGCCGCCCGUACCGCAAACCAACACAGGUGCUCAGGUCGAGUAGACCAAGGUGCUCGGGAGAACCCUCGUUAAGGAACUCGGCAAUACAGCGACCGUAACUUCGGGAUAAGGUCUGCCCCGCCACAGUGCGCAUGCAUUGAGGUUGGAGCCUGUAGAAGCGAGCGAAUCAACGAUAAAGAAAGAAGAUAUUUCACUUUUAACUCGAUUGAAGACAAAUGCUCGAGCUAACAGCUCUCGCAAACAUAUUCACUUUUGCCGAUUGGCAAGCGUGCGUAAUGUGGCGGGGCCGCAGCGAAAGAGCCCAUGCGACUGUUUAUCAAAAACACAGGUCCGUGCUAACUCGAAAGAGGAUGUAUACGGGCUGACUCCUGCCCGGUGCCGGAAGGUUAAAGAGCGGUGUUCACGCACCAAACUGAAGCCCCGGUGAACGGCGGCCCUAACUAUAAGGGUCCUAAGGUAGCGAAAUUCCUUGUCAGGUAAGUUCUGACCCGCACGAAUGGAGUAACGAUAUGGGCACUGUCUCAACGAGGGACCCGGUGAAAUUGCAAUAGCGGUAAAGAUGCCGUUUACCCGCACCAAGACGGAGAGACCCCGUGCAGCUUUACUACAGCUUGACAUUGUGUCUGAGCACGUCAUGUGUAGCAUAGGUGGGAGACUUUGAAGCGUUGACGCUAGUCAAUGUGGAGUCGCAAUGUGAAAUACCACCCUUGUCGUGUUUUGGCACUCACCUGAUCCGUUAUCCGGUUCAGGGACCGUGUCUGGUGGGUAGUUUAACUGGGGCGGUUGCCUCCUAAAGAGUAACGGAGGCGUUCAAAGGUUAGCUAACUUCGGAUGGAAAUCGAAGUGAUAGUGUAAGCGCACAAGCUAGCUUGACUGCGAGGCCUACAAGCCAAGCAGGUACGAAAGUAGGAGCUAGUGACCCACUAUUUGAAAGUGGAAUCGGUAGUGCUCAACGGAUAAAAGCUACGCCGGGGAUAACAGGCUUAUAGCGCCCAAUAGUCCACAUAGACGGCGCUGUUUGGCACCUCGAUGUCGGCUCGUCCUAUCCUGGGGCUGAAGCAGGUCCCAAGGGUUUGGCUGUUCGCCAAUUAAAAGGGUACGCGAGCUGGGUUCAGAACGUCGUGAGACAGUUCGGUCCCUAUCUGGUGUGGGCGUAAGGAAAUUUGAGGAGAGUUGCUCCUAGUACGAGAGGACCGGAGUGAACGAACCUCUGGUGUACCGGUUGUCGCGCCAGCGGCAUGGCCGGGUAGCUAUGUUCGGACGGGAUAAGCGCUGAAAGCAUCUAAGCGCGAAGCCUCCUCCAAGAUUAGAUUUCCCUAUAGACUCCAUGAAGACUACGUGGUUGAUAGGCACUAGGUGUACGCACAGUAAUGUGUUUAGCCGAGGUGUACUAAUAGUCGAUUGACUUUUUCUU
rnacentral:rRNA from 1 species